GACAAAGCUGAAAAUCAAUACGUCAUACGUAUUGCUCAGCCUCUAGCUUCGCUAGCUCGAUUCCGACACCAAUCCAGGUGCGUUGUGCCUUAGGCUGGCUGCCCUUGUGGCUUUAGUUUGUUCAAAGUGAACUACUGGCGGUAACUGCACACAAAGUGCAGAUCUUCCCGCUGGCUUCACUUCUGAGCAACGGUCAGUCUCUGGACUUGCACAAAACUUCUACUCUUAGUUCCGCUGCCUAUACACCAACUCUGUAAACACCAGUGACCACCGUAGGGUU
rfam:White-eye coronavirus HKT16, complete genome